rnacentral:lncRNA from 1 species
CAAUUUGAUCUCUGGCUGGGCAGGAGCUGGAGAUUAAGUAUUUAAGAUCAGCCAUGUAGGUGUUCUGUGUCUACCUGACUAACCCCCAUUAAACAGUCUGAACACCACAUCUUGGGUGAGCUUCCCUGAGAUUUCAAAAGACUCCUC